rnacentral:rRNA from 1 species
UCUAGUUUCAACGAUGAGGCAUAUAUGUCAACUAUGGGUGUUGACUCCAACAAUUCUCAUUGGUCUCAAACCAAUGGCAUGCAUUUCGAUGACCAUGAGUUUGAGGUGGACGAGGAUGGUGAUGGCAUCAUCGAUGCACCAAAAGGAAGAGGAGGCGACUACACCAAUGAUGAAGACAUCUUGCUAUGCAAUACUUGGUUGCAAGUGUCGAGGGAUCCCUCCGUUAGAGGUGAUCAAAGUAGAGAUCUAUAUUGA